UUAGAGCUAGUUCACUGUCUUUGUGCUAGAAAAUUAUUAUGCGUACAACAACGGCCAAUGCAUUUUUCCUUUUUCGCAGAUAUCAUGGUCGUGCCCCCUGACACGAGAGCUUCGCAUUUCCUGCGGCAAGUGCACUUGCAUUGCUGGUGUACGGGGUCAGUGCAAGCAUGCAGUGGCCGUAUGCCUCUACAUCAACAGCUAUGAGGAGGACAGCUGCACAAGCCAACCUCAGCAGUGGGGACAGCCCAGUGCAAAACCCCGGAUGCAGAGAUCGCAACACUUAUCAGACGUGGUGCCUCGUAAGUUUGCUGCAUGACAACAUUCAUCAGCAAUGUGGCGCAACAUUAAAAAACUUUGCUUGCAGUAGGAAAAAGGCUCUGACUGGAGAGUACAAACACGUCACUGACCUAUAAUUGGGAAUAUAAUUUUGUUUUGGGGUAAUUUAGAACAUUUCUUUUAUUGGUAGACAUUGCUAUGCUCAGUUUAGUCACACCUUAAGGUACCUUAGCGUUGAGUUACAUAGUAUUAAACUGACUUUAUGUACACAACGAAAUUGGAACCAAAAUGUGUCAAUACAUGCCACCUGUUGUCUCAUAAUCUGUGCAACAGGUAAGAAAUCAACAGCUCCAGACAUCAAAAUUGUGCCAAGAACAACACUGAUGAGCUACCCCGAGAUUGACUGCCCCCUAAAAGAAGUGCUCGAGUUGAUGCAGCUCAGUGCUGAUGAGCUUACUUGCAGAGAGGUGCUCGACACUGUUGUUGAGCAGGUAUCGAAGGCCGCACGGAAAGACGCCCUUGAGAACCUUCUCAAACAAGUGUCACACGGGCCUGUGUACCACCUUCUGAAUGUGAUGGAGGAUGGGACAACCCAGAAAAGAGAUUAUUUGGUGGAAAUGAAAAGUGAUCACAGAGAAAAGUAUCAAGAAAAGGUCACUCUUGAGCAAAGCUCAUGUCAGUUAGCUUUAUUGACACAAGGACAAUCAAGCUGUACACGGUAUGUAAGGAAUUAAAUUUUAGAGUUGGAGUGCACACAAUGGGCUGGAGUGACAUAUUUCAUGUUUCACAAUAUGCAGAUGGCAUCAAGAGAGGAGGCUUCGCAUCAGCAGUACCAAAGCACACCCGAUUCGGACAAAAAGGGAUGACAAAGGGCUUCAGAAAGCUGCUCGGCAACUUCUGAAAUCCAGCUCCUACAAGAGUGCUGCCAUGUGCUAUGGAAUUAGAACUGAAGGCACAGCACGAGAGGACCUGGAGAGAAGGCUUGGAGCAAGAAUUGUGCAGACUGGACUGGUGGUUCUUCCUGAGCAACCUUGGCUGUGCUGCAGCCCUGACGGACUUGUACAGCUUGCUGAUGAGACUGUGCUGAUUGAAAUCAAGUGCACAUAUAAAUUCAAGGAUGCACCAUUUAUCAGAUACGAAGAACGGCAUUGUGAGCUUCCACAUUUGAUAUUCAUUGAUUACAUAAUUGAAUUAAGAAAGUCACAUCAAUACUACACUGAGUUGCAGGUCCAAAUGUAUGUUCUUAAUUUGGAGAAAGCUUUGCUCUUUGUGUACAGUCAAGAUCAAUGUGUAAUAGCUGCUGUAAAGAGGGAUGAAGCGUUUUUCUGGGAGCUCAUCCCCAAAAAGGAGUAUUUUUAUUUCAAGUUCUUUGUGCCUGCUCUGUUUUAACAGUAUUUUAACUGUUUCCAUUGCGUGAGUUUUCCUGUUUAGGUUCACAAUUUUAAAGAGGUAUUCUGUGAAGUAUUGCCGGCAUCAUGUCCGCAAAAUGUUUAUGUUCUCACACAAUGCGAUAUUUUCAGUUCGCUUUAAAAAAUGCUUAGGGGUAUAUGCACUUUAAAAGUUGGAAUGUUCUAAAGUACAGUCAUUUAUUGUCAGAGCUUUGAAAGUGCAGUGCUUUUAUUUUAAUUUGUAUGUGUGAUGUGUUUAGUCUACAAGCAAUAUUUUAAUGCCACGCAAUUCUGGAUGAAACAUGCAUUUAUUUAUUUCUGCCAUGUGUGAUGUUUUUUUUUUUGUUUUCUGCAUACUGGUAGACGAAGUGGGAGAGUGUGUUUCUACUGUCACUACCUACGAGUUGGCAUGGGACAUGCCCGAGUUUUGAAAAUGUGAAUACAGUGCCUUCAUAAAGAUUUGUGGGUCUAGCCUACAUGCAAUAUAGUUGUCACACUGUCCUGUAGAAAACUUUAGUAUUUCUUUUAUAAUUUCUGAUGUUUAUAAGGUUUACUGCAUCCACAUAGUGCUUAGGUCUACAUUAAUACCGGUUGAGAUGGCGUGGCUAUGCCACAGCUUUGAAAAUAUGAAUACAGUGUCACCAAUAUGUGUAAUGUGUCUAGCCUACAUGCAAUGUUUAGUGGCCUCACAUGGCAGGAGAAAACAUGUGCAGUUAUUUAUUUUAUCAUUUGUGAUGCAUUUUUAAAGUUGGUCCAUCCAGGUAUAAAAACUCCAAUAAUAUGUGUUUAUGCUUAUGUUACUACCUGUUCAGUGGGCAUACAUAUGCCAAAGCUUUGAAAAUGAAAGUACAGUGCCUGUUUGAUUUUACUAUGUAUCUAGUCUAUAUCCAAUAUUUUAUUACUCUUUUGGACAGGGCAGUUGCUUUUGUAUGCUAUGUUUCAAUGCAAUUUUAAUGUUUCUGAAUGUACUUACCUUUACGCAUUUAGUUUGAAAUAUGUGAAAUCAAUAAAAAUGUGGUGUCAUGAAUUUAUGAUGCUGGGUAUUCUUACAUGCAGUAUUUUUAGUGCAAAUAUGUUGUUGGGGAUGCCAGUUUACAUUUGCUACC
rnacentral:lncRNA from 1 species